rnacentral:rRNA from 1 species
ACGGGAGGCAGCAGUGGGGAAUAUUGCACAAUGGGGGGAACCCUGAUGCAGCGACGCCGCGUGAAGGAAGAAGUAUCUCGGUAUGUAAACUUCUAUCAGCAGGGAAGAAAAUGACGGUACCUGACUAAGAAGCCCCGGCUAACUACGUGCCAGCAGCCGCGGUAAUACGUAGGGGGCAAGCGUUGUCCGGAAUGAUUGGGCGUAAAGGGCGCGUAGGCGGCCCGGUAAGUCUGGAGUGAAAGUCCUUCUUUUAAGGAGGGAAUUGCUUUGGAUACUGUCGGGCUUGAGUGCAGGAGAGGUAAGUGGAAUUCCCAGUGUAGCGGUGAAAUGCGUAGAGAUUGGGAGGAACACCAGUGGCGAAGGCGACUUACUGGACUGUAACUGACGCUGAGGCGCGAAAGUGUGGGGAGCAAACAGGAUUAGAUACCCUGGUA